rnacentral:rRNA from 1 species
CCUACGGGAGGCAGUAGUGAGGAAUAUUGGUCAAUGGGCGUGAGCCUGAACCAGCCAAGUCGCGUGAAGGAAGAAGGUACUUAGUAUUGUAAACUUCUUUUGUCGGGGAACAACGCCGGAGACGCGUCUCCGGAUGAGUGUACCCGAAGAAAAAGCAUCGGCUAACCCCGUGCCAGCAGCCGCGGUAAUACGGAGGAUGCGAGCGUUAUCCGGAUUUUUUGGGUUUAAAGGGUGCGCAGGCGGGAGUUCAAGUCAGCGGUAAAAUGCCGGGGCUCAACCCCGGCCGGCCGUUGAAACUGGUUUUCUAGAGUGGGAGAGAAGUAUGCGGAAUGCGUGGUGUAGCGGUGAAAUGCAUAGAUAUCACGAAGAACUCCGAUUGCGAAGGCAGCAUACCGGCGCCAUACUGACGCUGAGGCACGAAAGCGUGGGGAUCGAACAGGAUUAGAUACCCUUGUAGUC